rnacentral:rRNA from 1 species
GAUUUCUGACUGAUCGCUCUGACCCGGUGUCACUCCUCGUGGGUGGCUGCUGUGUGUCGGAACGCAUCUUUCAUCCUUUCCGGAAGGCCUUACGUACUGUUUACUCAGUCGCGUUUGUUUUGCAUUUUCCGGAUCUUUUACUUUGAAAAAAUUAGAGUGUUUAAAGCAGGCUUACGCCGUGAAUACAUUAGCAUGGAAUAAUAAUAUAGGACUUUGGUUCUAUUUUGUUGGUUUCUAGGACUAAAGUAAUGAUUGAUAGGGAUAGUUGGGGGUGCUAGUAUUCAGAGGCCAGAGGUGAAAUUCUUGGAUUCUCUGAAGACUAACUACUGCGAAAGCAUU